AUUGAACGCUGGCGGCAGGCCUAACACAUGCAAGUCGAGCGGAUGAAGGGAGCUUGCUCCUGGCUUCAGCGGAGGACGGGUGAGUAAUGCCUAGGAAUCUGCCUGGUCGUGGGGGAUAACGUCCGGAAAUGGGGGCUAAUCCCGCAUACGUCCUGCGGGGGAAAGUGGGGGAUCUUCGGACCUCACGCUUUCAGAUGAGCCUAGGUCGGAUUUGCUAGUUGGUGGGGUAAAGGCCUACCAAGGCGGCGAUCCGUAACUGGUCUGAGAGGGUGAUCAGUCAAACUGGAACUGAGACACGGUCCAGACUCCUACGGGAGGCAGCAGUGGGGAAGAUUGGACAAUGGGCGAAAGCCUGAUCCAGCCAUGCCGCGUGUGUGAAGAAGGUCUUCGGAUUGUAAAGCACUUUAAGUGGUGAAGAAGGGCAGUAAGUGAAUACCUGGCUGUUUUGACGGUACCAACAGAAGAAGCACCGGCUAACUUCGUG
rnacentral:rRNA from 1 species